GAUGGGUAAAUUACCUAAUGCAAACCCCAUGCCACCGCCUUCUUUUUUCUUUGAAAACCCGUUCUCUCUCUACUCACCAGUCACCAACCACCACACACUCACUUCACCGCAGCCGCCGGCAUCAAUAACCCAUCUCCGGUGAAAACCCCUACCACCACCAAUCGCCUCCAAACCCAUCUCCGGUGAGUUGAUCAACCAGCACUCUUAUUUUUAUUUCAUCCGUAUAACACUUGUCAACAGUAACGAUUUAAUAAUAAGAGGAACACAAUGCCAGCAGUUUACUUCAUCAGUGAUUUCAUACCCACAACCUUUUUGAGCAAUUUCACCCUCCUGUUUAGAGGAUCUAGUGCUACUACGAGUGACCCUCGGCUCUUGUGGUAAUGUUUCAGCAGCUUUCUUUUUCGUUGGAGUAUGAUUGCUUGAUUCCCACGAUCAGAUGAAAUGUUGACACAAAACAUUGUGUGGCUUGGGGCUGUUUCCUUAGGGUCACUAGAACCCUUCAGUUUUUCAACAUCAGGUCUAUAUAAUUCUUCCGCUUUUGAUGAAUGCACACCUUUAAUUACCCGUGCUACUUAAACAGCUAUAUAAAUCCCCAAGUUCUUGGUCAGCUGUAGCUUCCAAGAUUGAUUUGCACUUUAAGCAACAAACGAGACUGGAGCUGUUUCGUUUUCAGCUGAAAGCCAACGUUGUUGUUUCAUGUAUACUUUUCCUGGCCUAAAAACAAAUUAAAAUUCAGUUGGCAGCCGCCACGGAAGCUUUGGAGAUUAAAAGAUAUCUUUUCGAAAGCCCAGAAGCAAAUAUAGGGCUAGAUGGGAUUUCAUUCUUGCAUAUAUGAGUUGAUGAUACGUGCUUAUACCAACAAAAAGGUUUCAAUGAGUGUUUGGCCAAGCUUUGACAAUCUAAAAGCCUUAGCCUUCAUGAGUAGAUGAGGCCUUCAUUGUUACAUUUUCAAAACAUUGCGAAUUAUCAAAGUUUGUGGACUUGGAAAGGUGUAUGAAAAAAUCAAAAGCACUAGAAGUUGAUUUUCAACAGUUUCGUUCAACCAUCGCUACUUUAUCUUUCCUAAAUUUUAGCAACCCUUAUCGUGCAAGAAAGGGCUACAUGGGAUUUCAUUCUCACAUAUAUGAGUUGAUGAUAGAUGCUUAUACCAACAAAAAGGUUUCUAUAGAUGAGUGUUUGGCUAUGCUUUCGCAAUCUAAAUGCCUUAGCCAUGCAUUUUGCACUUCACGAGUAGAUGAGGCAUUCAUUGUUACACUUUCAAAACACUGUAAAUCGUCAAAGUGUGUGGACUUGGAAAGGUGUAUGAUUAAAAAAACACUAGUAUUUGAUUUUUAACAGUUUCGUUCAACCAUCUUUACUUUAUCUUUCCCAAACUUUAGCAACCUUUAUCGUGCGAGCAAGGUUCAUUUCUAGUCAUCCUUAUGAUUAUUUUUUUAUUUGUUUGGUGUGCCUCGUUGUUUAUGAUGUCUUUUGUUGUAGGGCUACAUGGUAUUUCAUUGUCGCAUAUAUGAGUUGAUGAUAUGUGCUUAUAACACCAAACAUGUUUCUAUAGAUGAGUGUUUAGAUGCUUUCGCAAUCUAAAAGCCUUAGCCAUGCCCUUUGCACUUCACGAGUAGAUGAGGCAUUCAUUGUUACAUUUUUAAAACACUGCGAAUCGUCAAAGUGUGUGGACUUGGAAAGGUGUAUGAAAAAAUCAAAAGCACUAGAAGUUGAUUUUCAACAGUUUCGUUCAACCAUCUCUUCUUUAUCUUUCCCGAACUUUAGCGAUCUCGAUCAUGUGAGAAAAUUUUCACAUGCAAUAGAUGAUGAUAUCAAGAAGACUGCUUCUAAGCUCAGCCACAGUGUAUGGUUUUUGUAUUUUGGUUUUGCUAGAGGUGGCAAGAUGGGCGGCUUGAUUAAUGUGUCAAAAUGGGUUUGUGGCGGUCCAGUUUGCUGAUUGAUUAUCUUUCACGAAGUGGAACACCUAGAUAUGCUCAUUGGUGAAUCCGGGAGUCAGAAACGUAGACAUAGGGUUAAGAGUAUCCAUAUGCGUCCUUCGGUUGCAACAACUUGGUCAAAUGCUAAGGAUAUAAGCUACUUUGACUUUACUCCGACGCCAUGGAAUGUGCUUUCUUGUUAUCUUGAAAGCCUCCUUCAGUUAGGAACUAUCAAAGAGAUUGCUGGAAGCGGUUCUAAGGUUGAAGAUGUUUUAAGUCAUGGAAAUGAUAUUACUAUUUUACAAGGCUUGCCGAUCUUCAUAGAUAGCUUCCAUACAGCCAUACUACCUUAGUUGACAAGUGUUAUACUGAUGAAAUGGGAGUGCACCCGCACGCAGCUCUUGUUCAAACUUCUCAUUGGGUUAGGAAAAUGUUUGUUGGCUCACGACAAAACUCGAGAAGUACAUGAACAAUUCUUGGAUGACAGAUCUGUGCUCGUUCUCGGGAGCACGUUUUCCUCUGUAGAUUUCAAAACUUUAUUCACUUCAUUGGGUAAUGACUUUGCAAUGGAAUAUGCAUUGUUGCUCUGCCACACAUGUUGGUCUUCAAAAGUGCCCCAUGCCAAUGUUCAAGGUAUAUUACGAAAUGAUGUAUUGCUUCUUAAUCGUAUUUACUGCAUUAAAUAUACUGUUGGUGUGUCUACUACUCUACUGUAAAGGUAUGUUUGUAAGAGGCAUCACAUUGCAAAACAUGUUAUGUAACUUAAGUCUAGAAGUAUGCACAUGUAAAGAAAGUGCAUGGGGGUUAUCAUUUUGAACCAUAUACUUAAUGAAGGGUCCGACAUGCUUUUAAUUGCUUCA